rnacentral:rRNA from 1 species
GAUGAACGCUAGCUACAGGCUUAACACAUGCAAGUCGUGGGGCAUCAUGAUGUAGUAAUACAUUGAUGGCGACCGGCGCACGGGUGAGUAACGCGUAUCCAACCUACCCUCCACUCAAGUAUAGGCUUCCGAAAGGGAGAUUAAUCCUUGAUAUCGUCAUUCUCUCUCCUGUUAGAAUGAUAAAAGGACAUCGUUUCGGUAGAGGAUGGGGAUGCGUUCCAUUAGGUAGUAGGUGGUUUAACAGGCCACCUAGCCGAUGAUGGAUAGGGGUUCUGAGAGGAAUAUCCCCCACACUGGUACUGAGAUACGGACCAGACUCCUACGGGAGGCAGCAGUGAGGAAUAUUGGUCAAUGGGCGCAAGCCUGAACCAGCCAUGUAGCGUGAAGGAUGACGGUUUUUUUGAUUGUAAACUUCUUUUCUGUGCGAUUAAAGUGUGGCAUUUAUGCCAUAGAGCAGUAUCUCAGGA